rnacentral:tRNA from 1 species
GCCUGGGUGGCUCAGUGGUUGAGCGUCUGCCUUUGGCUCAGGGCGUGAUCCUGGAGUCCUGGGAUCGAGUCCCACAUCAGGCU